rnacentral:lncRNA from 1 species
GGUCGGGGCCGCCCACGAAGGGGCUGCAUUUUUCAUCUGCAGCACGCUUUCUCUCAAGAAUCUCAAGCACACACAAGAAACCAGAGAGUAAAAUCACUGAGGCGUGAACACAUCCAGAGACCAAGGGCGUCACUGGCAGAAAAGCUUUUAGGCGGAUCCACGGCCCGAGAGCCACCCUGCCCAGAGACGCGGUUUCCUAGGAGCAGUUCACACGCGGCUCUGCAGCACCCACAAGCGGGGCCAGGGGCUGGUUUUCAUAGUUCACAGUCUGCAGGGAUCUUAACAAAAACAUGGCCGUGGUAAAAGUGCCUAGACCAGGCUUUCGUCACAACUCAGUGAGUAGGAAGACUAGUUAGGCUGAUGAAAAGCUCUGAUGAUGUGUGAUUAAAAGUAGGAAAACGUGGUUGCCAAAUAAAAUAUUUUACUAUAUAGUCAGGGGGAGAGAUGGGGAUAAAAAAAUGUGGAAACCAUUUAUUUUAAAAUUUUGACUGUUCCUGCAGUGUUUAAAAUAUAGGAGAUAUAUUCUGAUUAUCUUUAGAAAGAAACUGCUCUCAAUCUAUUUGUAUGUCUUCCCUCUGGUUUUAAAAUAUUAAACAAUCAUCUAACUCAAUAUUUAAUUUUACCUCUAGUCAUGUUACUAGGUUAGGAUAAUAAAAAGGACUGUGAACUUCACAUCUGCCAUCUAUAAUAGAUUCUUAUUGUAGCAAUCUUGCACCAAGGGGAUUUCUUUAUUAACUCUGCCAAAUUUUCCAAAAUUACCAAAUGGAGAAAAGAGCUGGUCCCAUCUGUCACCAGGCACAACCAGUUUGGAACCAAAACUGCAGUGUCCCCAAGGCAUGCCUGUAGGUAAACAUGAGUCCAUACUGAUAAAUGAUCGAAUAAACAGGAGAGAAGAAACAAAUCUUCAAGAAGAAUAACAUGCACAGAUACUGCUCUCUCCAGGGGUUGGAGCUGAAACCUCCUCAACCCACAGAGUAUGGAAAGGGAAAAACAGGAACUUGACAGUGGAGAAAUCUGGCAGACACCACUGUGACCAGGUGGCCAAGGUCAGCACUGCCUGGGAUAGGUCGUGUGGUGGUUACAACCACCCAGUAGGAUGUGAUGAGAAAGGUGCUUGAGAAACACAUCAAACUCCAAUUGAGGGACAUUCUACAGACUACCUGGCCAGUACUCCUCAAAACUGUCAAGGUCAUGAGAAACAAGGGAAGUCUGAGAAACUGUCACAGGCAAGAGAACGCAAAGGAGAUGGGAUGACUAAAUGCAGUAUGUGCCUGGAUGGGACUCUGGGACAGAAAGCAGACAUUACGGAAAAACUGGUGAAAUCCAAAUCAAGGCUGGAUUUUAGUGAAUGGACACUAACAAUGUUGGUUUCUUAGUCAUGACAAAUGUACCAUGGGAAGAGAAGAGGUUACCAAUGGGGGAAACUAGGUGAGGGGCACACAUAAGCUCUCUGUACUAUCUCUGCCAUUUUUCUGUAAAUCAAAAAUUAGUCCAAAAUAAAAGUUUAUUGGAAAAGAAAAAAAAAGACAUAACAGAUGG